rnacentral:rRNA from 1 species
UACAGAGGGUGCAAGCGUUAAUCGGAAUUGCUGGGCGUAAAGCGCACGUAGGCGGCUUAGUAAGUCGGAAGUGAAAGCCCUCGGCUCAACCAAGGAAGUGCUUUCGAAACUGCUGAGCUUGAGUACUUAAGAGGAUCGCGGAAUUCCCGGUGUAGAGGUGAAAUUCGUAGAUAUCGGGAGGAACACCAGUGGCGAAGGCGGCGAUCUGGGAAGAUACUGACGCUGAGGUGCGAAAGCGUGGGGAGCAAACAGGAUUAGAUACCCGGGUAGU